rnacentral:lncRNA from 1 species
UCAUUUUAUAUAACGGUAAAUUAGUAAUUCAAUAAAUAGUUUGGUAGUAGAGUGUGCUUAGUUAAUUUUAAGGUUUAUUUAGCAACACUCUAGAUAAAUCCAUACAUACGUAAAACGAGCAUAAUAAUAGUAGCUAGUAGGAAUUAUAUCCCAACAAUUCAACAAGAACGAACAAAGUAGUGAUAUUCUCACUCUCAUAGCAAUACUACAAAUAAUAGGACAAAACAAUAUUUGUAAACACACGAGUGGUCCAUAUAGUUCUCCAGAAAUCCCUAAAAUAGAUCUUGCAUCUAGGUAUGCAACACCACAUGAAAGGCCCAUACCAUAUGUGAUUAUGAACCUUUAUUUAACUACAUAUAGAUAUAGUAGUACAACAAAUAUUACUGUCCGGCUGGGAAACGAAACCGUCAAUAUGCCACUGACAAUAUGCCGAUAUAAUUGUCGCAAACAAAACGUACUCACAUGUUAUCGAUACAAUUUCACCAAUAUUAACGGACAUAUAUUAUUUCAACAAUGUCGAUGCACACAACCUUUAUUUAAUAAAGAACUGAUGGCUUGCAUAGAGAACUUCUGAGAUAUUCAUCAGAGACAUAUAUGUAUACACCAUUUUUAUUAAGGGGUGGUGGUUAUUGAAGGUGGAGAGAACGGAAAUAUGGGAGUUGAUGGGAAAUUUGGAAGUGAAGUAAUAAUAGGGGGAGGCAACCUAUAUUCUGGCCAUAAAGGUGCGGGGGUCAGAGGAGGAAACUUCAGGUUCCGAGGAGGAAACUUCAGGUUAGGGAUCUUAGGCAGCUUAUAAUGAGGAAAGGUAGGGGCUAAGAGUUUUCGAGGAGCGGCGAAAGCUAAAUGUGUGCUUGAAAGUAAUGAAGCGACGACAAAGAUAGCUAUGACAAACGAUUUCCAAGUGGCCAUCUUAGUGUGUGGAAAUAAAGCUGAUGAAAUUUGAUGUGGACGAGAAGACCAGCCUAUGGUUAUAAUUUAUAACGUUGAUUCCAUUGGGAACAAGAACAACCCCAUUUAUUUUUGGUUUUAAAUGCUGUAAAAUUCUGUUGAAAAAUAAAAAUAUGUCAGAUGCCGGUAUGGGUCAAAAUUUAGAAUAGGAUAGUACUAAUUUGUAGUUUUCCAUUAAAAGUCUCGCAGUUGGUAGGUACACCUAUCAUUGUCUUGGUUUCUAUUUUGCUUUGCCAUGCCAUUCUUCACAAAGAGAUAUGCCAUUUUUCUCGUUCUUCUUGAAAAGGAAAGGUUGAUAGAAUAAUUAAUCUCAAAGAUAAAAUAGACUUUGGCUGGAAAGGGAUAAUGAAAUGAUUGAAAAAGGCGAUGCGGCCCUUUGUUGUUUUGUUGCCGAUAACAAUAUAUAUAUAUAUAUAUAUAUAUAUACAGAGAGCUUUCAUUGAGGGAUCCUUCAAAUAAGCUUAUUUGAGGGACACCCCUUGUAGGCCCCAUUCCGGAUUGUAUUUCACUAAUCCAAACCGUCUAUUUUGUACAUACUCAUUCAAAGAUCAUCUCAACAAAAAAUCACUUGAAUCCGAUAUUAUUUGACCACUCAAUUAAGCUAUUGAAAUUUUAGCAUUUUCUUGAAGCAUCGUAUUCUUUGAUUUUGUAAGACACAAUUGGAUGUCGAAAUGGUUUCCGAUUUGUCUAAUUUUUUGUAAGGAUGAUCUAUGAAUAAAGACCUAAAAAAUAGAUGGUUUGGAUCAUUGGGAAAAAAAAUUGUGGGGUACCCUAAGGGGUGUCCCUCAAAUAAAAUUAUUUGAGGGAUCCCUCAAUAGAAGGGGACUGAUAUAUAGAGAGCUUCUAUUGAGGGAUCCCUCAAAUAAGCUUAUUUGAGGGACACCCCCUUGUAGGCCCCAUUCCGGAUUGUAUUCACUAAUCCAAACCGUCUAUUUUGUACAUACUCAUUCAAAGAUCAUCUCAACAAAAAAUCACUUGAAUCCGAUAUUAUUUGACCACUCAAUUAAGCUAUUGAAAUUUUAGCAUUUUCUUGAAGCAUCGUAUUCUUUGAUUUUGUAAGACACAAUUGGAUGUCGAAAUGGUUUCCGAUUUGUCUAAUUUUUUGUAAGGAUGAUCUAUGAAUAAAGACCUAAAAAAUAGAUGGUUUGGAUCAUUGGGAAAAAAAAUUGUAGGGUACCCUAAGGGGUGUCCCUCAAAUAAAAUUAUUUGAGGGAUCCCUUAAUAGAAGGGGACUGUAUAUAUAUAUAUAUAUAUAUAUGUUAUAUUGUUGUUUGGGUGUGGUCUCCAAUUCCAAGUCAAGUCACGUCAAGUCAAUGGUCUCAAUUUCAAGCCAAGUUAAUAGACUCAAUUUCAAGCCAAGUCAAGUGGUUCCAAUUUCAAACUAAGUCAAGACAGACUCAACUUCACAAGAAAUUAUUAUUUACAAUGAAAGUAAAUAAAUGAAAGACCAAGGAGUUUUGGUUGGGAUUUCACUCAAAGGCGAACUAGUGGCCCAUGGAUUCUCUCUCUCUCUCUCUCUCUCUCUCUCUCUCUCUCUCUAUAUAUAUAUAUAUAUAUAUUUAAUACGAAGGAGUAAGAAGUCAUAUGAACUUUGGCCAAGUUUCUUGAAAAUGCCAAAUUGCCUAAAGAUCUUUAGGCAAAAAGAUCUGAUGAAAGUUCGAAGGCUAACUUUAUGGCUUUAUACUAUCUAUAUAAUAAUAUUUAAACUCAACAUGAUGCAGAUGGACUCAUUAGAAUUCUAAAUCACCCAACAUCAGUGGAUUAUGUUUAAUCAAAACUAGAAACUCCGGAAACCAUGAUGUCUCACCAGAAGAAAAUAAUGCCCUGUUGAAACUGGUGAGUUCGUACUCCAUUGGUACGCUGAGAAGGCUAGACAUGCUGCAGGUUUCUAAUGAAAAGAUUCUGGGAGACCAGGAGAGACUCAUGGCUAAGCUUAAGAGGCGCCAUUCUCUUCCUUCAGAGGCUUCCAGAACAUAAUGUAAUCUUUUAGAUUUUACAGAGCCUGCACCUUUAUUGCAGGUGGAAAAUCUAUCUGUUGUAUGCCUUCUUUCAUGUUAUAAUAAUUGUGCAAAUUCUUAAACUUGCACCUGUGGUUUUUACGUCUUUUCAAAAUGACGAUUUGGAACCUUGUGUCUUAUAGGUUCAAGUAACCACAUCAAAUCUCUCAAAUUACAUAUUUCAAUGCAUGUGAGCCCGGAACUUCUGGCUCGGGCUAAACACGACCUCAGAAUUUAUUCGCCCUUUUCAAAUAUGCAUGAAAUAUGAAUUGAGGAAAAGUCAUGAUAAUAUUGUAAUAUAGUAGUGAAGAGCAUUAACUACUAUAUAAUCAAAACUUCAGGUUCAGGACUUUUCAUAUAUUGGGAUCAAUGGGCUUCUAGCCCAGAUCAUAUAAUAUAACCAAAUAUGUGGGGAGCCUCAAUUCAUCAUUUGAGGUUUAUCCUGAUAUUAUCCAUUUCAUGGUGCAUUCUUAACAACCGGAAUUCACAAAAUAUAUUUCUUCCUUGAGGUGUCGAUUGUAACAGAAUUGAACUUUAUUAAAUUUAUCAUUUCUUAUGCCAAAGAAAUAUGUGGUGUACCACAAUUUGCAAUAAUACCUCAAGGGUUGCCCAUUUAACUAUAGGAACUUCAAGUUCUCAAUAUUGCCAUAUUUUAAACUUUAUGCCAAAAUCAUAUAUUCUUAUAGUAUGGGCAUUCAAUACUCUUAGAUUUUGAACUUCAGGCCAAAAUCACAUAUUCUCAUGGUAUGAACAUUUUUACAAUUUUCUGUAUGUAUUUUGGGACUUCAAGCACUUACAUAAUUGUCCAUAUUUUGAGAAACUUCUGGCAUCUCAUUUAAUUGCUCAUUUAUGAGUUUAAGGAACUGCAUGUUCCCUUUUGUAUAUAGUGACAAUUUACCCAAAAUGGUUAAUAUUUAUGCAUAUGUCACUAUUCAUGUAUACGAUACUAUUCAUCAAGUCAUGAAUACGUAUCUAUUCAUGUGUACAGUACAUUUGCUAGUACAGUUAUUAUUUAUGUGUACAUCACUUUUAACCAAUACGGUACUGUUGCAUCAUCAAGGAACUCUAGGUCUUUAUUUACAUGUCAAGGAUCAAGGAUCUUCAAGUCCGAUAUCUUGUUUACAAGUAUAGUAAACAAGAGAUUGUCAGCUCUCAUAUCAUUAUCAUCAUCAAGGAUCUUCAAGUCCUGAUGUAGUUGUAUGAUGGGGAUCAAAGAACUUUUGGUCCUGAUCUGUAUGCUGUAAAAACUCAUCAUACUGCACAAUUAAUCCAUAAAAUAAAUUGCUUGUAAAUAAAUUGCUUGAUGUAUGGACGUUAAUCCUGCGCCAUACCUUAAAUAAAAUUAAAUAUGCGGUAAAGUAAAUUCAUAAAUUAAAUUGCUUGCUGUACGGACGUUAAUCCCACACCAUACCUUAAAUAAAAGUAAAUGUGCAAUAAAGUAAAUUGCUUGUUGUAUUGGAGUUAAUUCCACACCAUACAAUAAUAAAGUAAAUGUGCUUGUAUGAGCACUAAUUCUGCUCCAUACUUUUAAAUAAAAGUAAAGGCAGUUGUGUGGACGAUAAACCUGCACCACACUUUUAAAUAAAUAUUGUUGUAUGGGUAAUAAACCUACACCAUACAAGAAAUAAAUUGUAUGAGUAAUGAACCUACACCAUAUAGUAAAUAAAAUAACUGUGGGAAUAAAACCACCACUAAAAAUAUAGGAAGUGAAACCGUCUAUUUUUAUUAGUUGUUAGUAAUAUGAAAGCAAAUAAGUAUAUUAUAUUACUAUCAACUUUUCAUAUCAAUAUUAUAAUUAUAUAUAUAAGAUAACCAUAUAUAAUAAAUUGACAGUUAUCGCUUCUGACAAUCGUGGAUUAUAUAUACUAGAUUAAGACUACCAUAUCAAAUAAUAUUCUAUAAAUAUCACUUGUGUAUAUACAUAUAACUUGAGUAUAUUGCCAUUUAUAUAUAUAAUAUGUUAUAUCAAAACCAAAAAGUUAAUGAUGCUUUAAUAUAAUAUAUAAAGCAACCAUAUAUCAAAAGGAAUCAUGGCCGACAAUGAAUCAUUGCAUAUGUGCAUGUUUUCAACUUUGUUGCUUUCACUCCUGCCAUUAGCACUCAAACUGUUUGUAUAAUCAGCAUAUAUAUAUAAGGUAGCAUUGAAUAAUGUAAAGUAUUAAUAAACGAAGAAGAUGAAAAAAUAGUGAGCUUAUCAUGUUUUGGUGGAUUUGCUCGUAUAUCUCUCUAGCAGACCACAGCUCCUUCUCUUUUCUUCCUUACAUCAACACAAUGAUCAGUAGUAUAAAUAAUAGUGCAACACAAAAAUUAUACAUGAGAGCUUCUCGUGCUAAUAACGUGUUAUACAAUAACUGGAAUAUGUGCGAAUAUUGAGCUGCACGUAAAGUGGAUGAGAAACAGUAACUUUUCCACUAUGUAAAAUAAUAGGGCUACAACUUUAGUGUUUACAAUAUAUGUAGCUCACUAAUUUUUCUCUCUUGGAGAAUUUCUCUCCUCUCACCCACUCUCUUUCUUUCUUUUCUUUCCUUCCUCUCUGCCUGACUCUCUUUCUUCUCUCAGUUGGAGUCUUCACCAAAGGAAGGGGGGAAGCCUUAUUUGUAGGCAGAAUUUUGUGGCUGCUUACUCAUUUCUCUUUGGCUUCACGUGGGUGUUGACAAGCAUCAUCAUUACUCUUCAAUUAAUUAGGUAGUGUGCUCUACCAUUUUGGCCUCCACAUUCUUGACUUUACAACAAGUAUAUAUUUUAAUAUGGAGGAGUAAGAAGUCACAACUUUGGCCAAGUUUCUUGAAAAGGACAAAUGGCCUAAAGAUCUUUAUAAAAAAGAUCUAAUGAAAGUUCGAAGGCCACCUUUAUGGCCUUAUACUAUCUAUAUAAUAUUAUUUAGACUCAACAUAUAAGGUAUAAUCAUAGUCUAAAAUAUCGAUAAUAUCGACGAAAUUAUCAUUUUUUCGAGUCACAAAUAUUUGGAACGUAUCCACACAUAUCGUAUAAAUAUCGAUAAUAUCAGAAAAUAUCGAUGUCGAUAAUUGUGCUCACUCACUACUACAAAAAAGGAAAAAGACGACGGUAAAUCACCGUCGUGUAUUCGAUUUUUCAAUGGUCGUGGAAUCCACCGUCAUCUUUUCCCUCAUAUACCACGACGCUAAAUCACCGUCGUUGUUAAAAUAUACAACGUCAUCAACAAAUACAAAACGACGUCUUUGUACUGCAAAAAGAUCUAAAAAAGCAGUCGAGGAUGAGAAUAGACGACCAACUCUCUAAAAAAACCGUCGUUAAAAAGGAAAAAUAUGACACAUAUUAAGAGAACAAGGCCGCAAGAUAGACAUACAACGACGGAAAUAAAACAACGACGCCGUUAAAUAUCAUUUUCACGACAAUAAAAAAUUUGACGUCUUUAAAUACAUUAGAAGACGACGUUAUUGAUACCUACUACGUCGCAUAUAUAAAAACAGCCGUCGUAAAAUUAAUUUUCCACUUCGAUUUUUCGAUAAAAGAUGACGUGGAAAUAGUUGUCAGUGUCAUUAUUUACGACGUAUGUAUUUAUUGAGUAGACGUUGAAAAACUAAACAACGUCGGUUACAAAUAUAUGAGAGUCGUAUUACAAAAUUUAUACGUCAUAUUUUCAGAAACAAACAACGACGAUAAAUAUUAGACGUUGUUAAAUAAAACAACGUCGGAAAACAAUAAAAACAGACGUGUUUAGUCUGCUAAAGUUCUAGAAAAUAGUCGAGGAUGAGAAUAGACGACCAACUCAAACAAAUCACCGUCGUUAAAAAGGAAAAAUAUGACACAUGUUAAAAGAAAAAGGCCGCAAGAUAUACAUACAACGACGACAACUAAAAUUUUACGCCGUUAAAUAUAAUUUACACGACAAGAAAAAAUAUGACGUCUUUAAAUACAUGAGAAGACGACGUUAUUGAAAUAUACUACGUCUCUUAUUUACAAACAACCGUCGUGAAAUAAAUUUUCCACUUCGAUUUUUCUAAAAAAGAUGACGUGGAAAUAGUUGUCAGUGUCAUUAUUUACGACGUAUGUAUUUAUACAGUUGACGUUGAAAUGCGAAACAACGUCGGUGGCAUUUAUAUAGUCGACGUUGUAUUUAUAUCUAUCAUCAUUACUCACGACGCACUUAAUAAUAUAGACGACGUUGAACUUCUAAACAACGUCGGUUCCAAAUAAAUGAGAGCCGUAUUACAGAACAUAUAGACGGCGUUGAUUAUGAUGAGAGCCGUAUUACAAAUAACGUCGUUUAAUUGUUAUUAGACGGCGGUUAUAAUGAAUUUCCGUCGGAAUUCAUUUCGUUCCUCUUCGUUUAUAAAAGAACUUGCGACGUGGAAAAUGUAUGAUGACGUCGUAUUUUUUAACGUUCAGAUUAUAUAUCUCGUUUUUUAGACGUCGGUAUUAUGGGAUUGGAGUCGUGUUAUUUUGAAUUACAUGGCGGUUCUUAAUCCUUCCCCGACGUGAUAUCCUGAUUAAUUGCUUCACAAUUGCGUCGUGGUUCUUCAUUGUUACGUUGCUUUAAGACGUCGGUAAAUAUGCUGAAUAACUGGUUCACAAUAACGUUGUGUUUUAUUUGAACGUAGAAAGUGAAGAAAUCACAUUACAAUAUAUUACAAAAUUAAUGUCAUACACUGCCAAUUACAUAAGCAUCAUUCAAUCCAUAUAUCUUCACACCCAUCUCGAAUAUUUUGACCGCCUAACUCACCCACCAGUUCAUCAAAUGUGUCAACAUUUGGCAUCCCUCUAGUAAAUGGCUCACACUCAAUUAUCACAUCACCUAAGACUUCAUCACCAAUAACAUCAUUAUAUUCUCUAUUAGGCAUUGAUAACACUACCGACCAACCACGAUGCAUCGGGUCGUCAACAAAAAAUAUUUGUUUGACUUGAGAAGCCAAAACAAAUUGGUCAUUCCUAUGUCCAAUUUUACUCAAAUCUACAAGGGUAAAUCCAAGUUCGUCGACUACAAGACCAGAACUAUCUAUCCAAUCACACCUAAAGACUGGGAUUGUAAACUUUUGGUAGUCAAGGUCCCAAAUUUCUUGAAUGACACCAUAGAAACCCAUAUUUGAGAGAAUUGGGUUUUUAUCCUUGGCACUAGCAACUUGCAUGGUAUGUGCAAGUAAAUAAACUCCACUAUUUUGAGUUGUCCGCACAUCAUCUUGUGCCUUGAUAUUGAAUUUAAUACCUUUAAUAAGAUAGCUCCUAUAUAAUGGCACUGACAUGUUUGGACCAGCUGCUAGCCACCUUAAAUUUUCUGAUACGCCAUGAUUGUCUUCCUCAAGUUCACUUUGAACCUGCAAAUUAAUCAUAUCUUAAUUCAAUCUAACAUAUAAAUAAGAAGAAAAUUAAAAGAGAAAUAUGUUAUUCAACAAUAUAUACCUUGAAGCGUAGCCAUUGAAUGAAAGUGCUAUUGUGCUUAUCCUGCAGCCACUUUGUUCUCUUUCUAAAUUUUGGAUAAGCAGUCUUGAUGUGAAUCAUAUGUUGCCUACAUGACACGAAAAAUUCAAGCAUUACGGUCCUAAAUAUAGAAGAUAAACAUAAGAAAUAAUUUAAAAUGGAAACUUAAAGAAUAAAGCUCAUACGUACUCGAUAUAAGGUAGGACUUCCUCCGUAUUCUCCAAGACAUAUAGAUGUGCUUGAUUCAACAGGUCCUGAUCAACUACGCUCACUGUGCAACCUGAUAAUGGCUUUGAAAGUCCCAUCUUUUGGCUUGAAGGCACUCCAACUGUACUAACAUCAGAUAAAUGCUGAGUACAACACUCUACCGCUUCUUCAGCUAUAUACCGCUCAGCAAUGCAACCUUCGGGACGAGUACGAUUCUGAACAUACCCCUUCAGCACUUUCAUAUAUCUUUCAAACGGAUACAUCCACCUAAAAUAUACUGGCCCACAUAGACGAACUUCUCUGACAAGAUGUACUACUAGAUGAACCAUGAUAUCAAAGAAUGAAGGGGGAAAGUACUUCUCAAGCAAACACAGAGUAACUACUACAUCUUCUUCCAACUUAUCUAGCUUGGAAACAUCAACAGUCUUUGCACAUAUAGCAUUGAAGAAGAAGCACAAACGAGUUAUUGCAUACCUUGCAGGCUUCUCCAAAACAGAACGAAUUGCCACAGGGAGCAAUUGUUGCAUUAAGGUAUGACAAUCAUGUGAUUUAAGGCCAAGAAGUCUUGAAUCUUGUAAAGAUACAAGAUUUUUAAUAUUUGAAGAAUAACCUUCAGGGACCUUCAUACCAUAGAAAGAAUUGCAAACCUCUCUCUUCUCUGCUCUUGACAAAUUCCAAGGCCCAGGAGGCAAACGAGUACGUCUUUCUCCAUACUCGGGUUGCAAAUCAGUUUUGACCCCCAUGUUCAAUAAAUCUAAUCGAGCAGCAAUCCCAUCUUUAUUUUUUCCAGGGAUCUCCAGCAAUGUACCAAUGAUACUAUCGCAAACAUUCUUCUCAAUGUGCAUAACAUCUAGGGCAUGCCUCACAGGAAGGUAUUUCCAAUACUCGAGAUCAAAGAAUAUUGAUUUCUUCUUCCAACAAACUCUGUCACCAUUUUCAACCAUAUGCAGCACUUCUUCUCCGGUUAAUGGCUCGGGAGGUAUGCCAUAUUCAGGUUUCCCAUUAAAAGCUGCACGUUGCCUCCUAUAUGGAUGAUUGAUUGGUAACCAUUUUCUAUGCCCAAUGUAACAAAUUUUGUGGCCAUUUUUCAACCUGUGACUAGGUGUAUCAUCGCCGCAUAUUGGACAAGCUUUAUAUCCUUUAACAACAGAACCAGAUAAGUUUCCAUAGGCGGGGAAAUCAUUAAUUGUCCACAUUAAUGCAGCUCUGAGUGUAAAGUAUUCUCCAUUAUGUGCAUCAUACACUCCUCUAAUCCCAACCCACAAGGAUUUUAAAUCAUCAAUCAAAGGCUCCAAGUAGACGUCUAUAUCAUUUCCGGGUUGUUUAGGACCGGAAAUCAAUAAGGUUAACAUCAUGAACUUUCGUUUCAUGCACAGCCAUGGAGGGAGAUUAUAUGUAACUAAGAUAACCGGCCAACAACUAUAUCUGCUACUUAGAGAACUGUGGGGAUUGAAUCCAUCAGAUGAAAGAGCCAAUCUCAAGUUUCUCGGCUCAUUACCAAACUCAGGCCAUUUAUCAUCAAGAAGUUUCCAAGACGGGGAAUCCGCCGGAUGAGACAUCUGACCGUCAAUUGAUUUUCUAGCAGCAUGCCACCAAGUCAAACUCUUAGCUGUCUCAUGUGAUUGAAACAUCCUUUUAAACCUUGGAAUUGGGGGAAAAUACCACACCACCUUCGCUGGCACACCCUCUUUCAAGAUUGAAUCUUUGCCUUCCUUCCACCUUGAGAUACCACAAGUAGGACAAUUAGUUGAAUCCUCAUACUCCUUCCUAUACAAGAUGCAAUCAUUGGGGCAUGCGUGCAUUUUCUCAUAACUCAGCCCCAAUGCACACAAAGUCUUUUUAGCCUCAUACAUGGAGGUUGGUAUUGUAUUUCCUUCUGGAAGCAAAUCGCCUUGAAGUAUCAAUAAUUCUGUAAAACAGACAUCACUCAUCCCAUGUUUUGCCUUCAAAUUAUACAACUUCACUAAUGCCGAUAACUUCGUGUACUUUCUACAACCAGGGUACACUGGUUGAUCUCCAUCCCCAAUCACAUUGGCAAACUCAUACGGAUCCGAACCAAAAUCACCAAAAUCAUUAUCAUCCAUAUCAAUUUCUUCAGACACAAAACUGUACCUACUAUGGCCAUCAUCUUCUUCAACAUUUCUACUAGCAUUAGUAGUUGCUUCCCAAGGUUCUCCGUGAAAUGUCCAAUUCUUAUAGCUUUGGUCAAUUCCAUUAAAGUAUAAGUGAUCCCUUAUAAUUCCAACCCCAAACAACUUCAAAUUAACACAUUUAACACAUGGACAACGGAUAUGUGUUGUAGUUAGAAGAUUUUCUACAGCAAAGUUCAAAAAUGCUUCCACCCCAAAUUCAUAUGCCUUCGAUCUUCUAUCCGAGUGCAUCCAUGACUUAUCCAUCUCCGACACUAUAACCUAUUAUCUAUAAUAAAGUGAAAAUACAGGCAAUGACCAUCACUAUAGCAGAUUAUAAAAUGAUCUAAUCGCAAGUAAUACACAACAGAGACGACGGGUUUUAAACAAAAACAGACGUAUUUGGCAUAUAUAGACGACGGAUUUUCAACAGACGUCGUCUAUUAUAAGUAAUACAAACGACGGUUUAUGAAAAAACCGUCGUGUAUAAGUAAUACAACGACGGUAGUUUAAAAAAAUCGUCGUGUAAUCGUCGUCGUAAGCCUUAAAAUUCGUCGUGUCUCAGUUUAUUUUCAAGAACACAAAACCCAUUAAGAACACAACAUAUAUAUGAAACCAAGCAAGAAACCAACAUAUACAUGAAACCAAGCAUGAAAACAAUAAAUCCAUUCCCAAUUCAACAUAACAGAUAAUCCAUGAACCCAUUAAACAGAAAAUCCAUGAACCCAUACCUAUAAGCACAUUAUUAACAGAUCGCAAAGCAUACACAUAAAACCCUUUAACAAAACAACCUAAUAUAACUCGAAUCGUUACUAGAAUCAUCACUCGAAUCCCCAUCUUCAUUAUCAGUUUCUUCCUUCGUAGGUACUAUUUGCUCCCCAUCAUUUUCUCCAUAGCGGAAAAUGACAAGAUCAAAUAAAGGUGUACUUUUGCUGGAAAUCAUUUGGAAGUUGGUGAUCUGUGUCUUUUUGUGUUGAUUUCCAGCAAAAGUACACCUUUAUUUGAUCUUGUCAUGAACCCAUUAAACAGAAAAUCCAUGAACCCAUACCUAUAAGCACAUUAUUAACAGAUCGCAAAGCAUACACAUAAAACCCUUUAACAAAACAACCUAAUAUCAUUCAAUGAAUUUACAAGGGGAAGAUAGGGUUUAUACUUACAGGUUGGACGAGCUCACAGAUUCGACGGAGCCUGGAGAGUGCAACUUUUAAUUAGAGCAGAAGUGAGAGAGCGAAAUGUUAUGUCGCGCGAAAUCUGAAAAUUUAAGGUUUCAGGGUUCGAAGUAUAAGAAUAAGAGCCAAAUCUAAAAAAAUUUAGGUCGCGCGAAAAUUUUUAGAGUUCGCGCGUUUUAAAACGUCGAAAGAAAAACCAAGGCGAAAGUUCUACACGUACCGACGUAAAUUUAAUAUUCCACGACGGAAACUUCAUUUUUCGGAUUAAGAACGUAAGGCCGUUCAUUUUGAAGCUUCAUUUUUCGGAUUAAUUUUAAAUUUAUUUUGAAUUUUUUAUAUAACGACGACUGAAAAACCACGUCGGUGUUAAGAAAUUAAAGACGUUGUAAAUUAUAUAAACCGACUUACAUAUUAAAAUGACGUCGUUUAAAGCGUAAACCAUGUCGUAUGUUUUUCUGUACGACGUAAAAUAUGUAUUCCACGACGCAACCACCGUCGUUAAAAAUUAAUACCCUAAACCCAUAAAACUAAAUUAUACAAUUUAAAAAAUUAAGUUUAUAAAAGGUUUUAUGGUUUUAAAGCCUAACAUAUACCCUAGACUACCCAAAAAUUAUACUUUAAAAAUAAACCCCAAUAAAUAACAACCCUAAUCUCUAAACCCUAGACUCUAAACCCUAAACCAUAAAACUAGAAGUGAUUUUAUGACUCAUCAAAACAAUUUUGUUUUGGAUGGUCAUUUUAAAUUUUUGUUAUUCAAAAUGAAUUUUUUCAAGGUUUAUGUGGAAGAAAAUAUAUCAAUGACUUCAUAGGAGUUGACUUUUCAAUUUUCUGAUUUAUUUUAAAUUUAUUUUGAAUAUUUUGAUAUAAAAAUAAUAAAAUAUUCUUACCACAACAACAAACCACGUCGGUGUUAAUAAAUUGUAGACGUUGUAAAUUGUAAUAGACUACUAAGUCGUUAAAAUGACGUCGUUAAAAUGAGAAACCAUGGCGGCUAUUUAACUAUACGACGUAAAAUAUAUAUAUCAACGACUUAACCGCUGUCGUUACAUAAACGUCGUCGAUGAUACCCUGAACCCUUAAGAAAUUGAAGAUGUUGUAAACCAUAAACGACUCAAUUGUUCAAAGAACGUCGUCUAACUAUAUUUUUACGUCGUAUUUGUUUAAAACACGAAACAACAAAAUACGACGGUUUGUGACUUUAUUAGGUCGUUGGAAAAGUAUUACACGUCGGUUAAGCAAUUUGUAUGUUUGUUUUUUUUUUAAUUUAAGAAAACCUCAACAAAUUUUUACAUUACAUAUUAUAGAGAAAAUUUGUACAUUAUACAUAAAUAUCAAGUGUUCAAUAAUUGCCCUGUUUAAUAAUUUGGAAAACAAACUCUGCCCAUUCAUUCCGGACUUCAUCAAUGGCUUCUUGGGGGUAUGAAGCUUCCUGGUUUCCCUUGGCAUACUGCAUAAACAAUGACUAUUAGGGUUUAUAAAUAAAAAGAAAUUCAAUCACAGACGACGAUAUUUUUCAUAACCGACGUAGUAUAUCCAUUCAACGACGUUAAUUUUACAUGACCGUCGUUGAUAAUACAAAAAACGACGUGAAAUGUAUGAAGGUAAUUUCUUCUUACCUUAUUCUCAAACCCCAAGGAAGGAUCCAUGAUGAUGUCCCUCAUGAAGCGCAUCACAUAAUACCCGCAUUCGACAUUGCUGGGUUGCUUUGGUGUGCCUGAGAGAGUUUUCCAAAUUACAUUUUUACGUCCUGCUCGGGCUAUGUGGGUAUUAUAUAUUUUUAAAGCACUGUUCACGAUGUUUUUCGCCUCUUCGUCGACCACACGAUGACCUGGCAGAGGAUCCAGAAAAUAGACGGUCUCCUUCUUUGCUCUUACAAUCAGCAAGAUCCAAUGACGGCUGCACAAAAUUAAUAUAAAAACGACGGUUAUUUACAAAAACGACGUAUUAUAGUAUUCACACGACGAAANNNNNNNNNNNNNNNNNNNNNNNNNNNNNNNNNNNNNNNNNNNNNNNNNNNNNNNNNNNNNNNNNNNNNNNNNNNNNNNNNNNNNNNNNNNNNNNNNNNNCGACGGUUUAUUUACAAAACCGACGUAUAAUAGUAUUUCCACACGACGAAAUAAAGUAGAUAACGACGACAUUAUAUAUUUAUCACGACGAUAAAUAAAUACCGACGUGGUUAGUAGUUUCAAACGACUAAAUAAAAUAAAACACCGACGUGGUUAGUUUAUAAUCUGUCAUUUAUUGAAAAUCAUAAAAACAAAAUCCUAAGGAGACUAACCCUGGAUUGUAAGGCAUCAUGAAAAUCUGUUCACCCGUCUGUCUUCUGAAGUCGAGCUGCUACCAGUCGUGAUCUUUCAGUUAUUGUGCCAGAGUUGGCACUAACUGUAGCAGGGUCGAUAAAGCCAACCAUGCUGCACAUAUUGGCUUGUUUCAAAACAUCGUGUAAGUACCUAAAUACAUAAAAUAAUAUAAACAAGUCAGCACAAACAAACAUGACGGUUAUGUAUAAAAAAACGACGUAUUAUAAUAUUUCACACGACGUACUGAAAUAGAUGAGGACGUUAUAAUAUAUUUAUCACGACGGUAGUUAGUUAAGACGACGUGGUUAGUUAGUUAAGACGACGCAAUAUAUAAACCAACGAGGUAUUAUUUUAGAAGUACAAACCUCAUAUAUACAGCCAAUACAGUAGCUCCAAUUUCUUCCAUGCCUGCAAAUUGUGUAAUAUCUUCAGGCAGGAGGAAGGUAUCGCGCUCACCACCAAACACCUCCUUAUUAAUUGUAAAUUGGAGUGUCUUAUCCUCAGGCAGGAGUGUCGUUUCCACAAAACGACAAAGGGUUUUUAAAGAAGAUGGCGCCUCCAUAUUUGAAUAAGCACCAACUUCAAUAACCUGUUUAAAGAAAUAAAAAAAAUGACAUGGUAAUUCAAUAAAGACGACGGUUUAAGUAAUAAAACGUUGUCUUAAAAGUAUUUAAACGACGGUGAAAAAACCGUCGUGGUAAUUCAAUAAAGACGACGGUUUUAUGAAUAAAGCGUCGUCUGAAACCAUUUAAACGACGGUGCAAAAAUCGUCGUUUAAAUAUUUUAUUACGUCUUAAAAAAAUUCCGCCGUCUAAGUUUUAAACAAACGACGGAUUAAAUAAAAAUAUCGACGUCUGAAAUUUUGAAAAACAAAUAAAAAAGGCAAAGUUAUGUGAACAUACCUUGUCGUCAUGCUUUUCUUCAUCUUCUUUCUCCUUUUCUUCUUCCUUCUCUUCAUCUCUUUUUUCUUCUUCCUUCUCUUCAUCUGGCUGAUGUUUCCCCAUUUUGGCAGUAUCAUCCUCCAAAUGUAGGGAUCUCACAUCACCUCCAGAGCAGCUAGCUUUGUCAGACAUUGGAUUUUUGGGGCUUUGGCUAAUUCUUGGUUUAAGCAUGCUUGGAUCAAAAUUGGGAAUUAAUUGGGAAAGCUGACUCAGGAAAUGCUCCCUCUCAGCCUCUACCAAUUGUUUUGUCCUAGCCUCCAUCCUUAAGGCCUCUUCCCUUGCCUUAGCCUCCAUCUUUUUAGUCUCUUCUUGAAGGAGAACUCUUAAACUGUCCUUCAAACGGUCGUCAAAGCUCACCCUCUGUGGUUUGGGAAAAUUGAAAUAUUGCCUUGGGGAAACACCAGCACCAACUCCCCUCAGUCUGCCUGGAUGCUCGGGGCCCAAAGCCAUGGUCAGCACAUCAUUGCUGCCAUCUACUCUGACUUUGCCUUCCGAGACUUGUUUCUGCAAUUCAUCCUAAAAAAAGAUAAACAAAAAAACACACGACGGUUAUUUAUGUACAAACGACGUAUUAUAUAAUUUCACACGACGCAAUAACGUAUAAACCGACAUUAUUAUAACUUAUCACGACGGUGGUUAUACCGACGUGGUUAUUUAUUUAAAACGACGAAAUGAAUAAACAACCGACGUCUUAUGCUAUAAUUAAAGAUAACAGAGUAGUGACUCCUAUUUAGACCGUUAACGACGUUUUUAAAAAAGUUUCGACGUGGUAAUAUCAUUCACACGACGCGAAAAUGAACCACCGACGUCUUAUGCUAUAAUUACAGAAAACAUAGUAGUGAUUCCUAUUUAGACCUUUAACGACGUUUUUAAAAACUUUUCGACGUGGUAAUAUCAUUCACACGACGCAAAAUAUAACAUACGACGUAAUAAGAAUAAUUCACAGUUUAAUACAAAUUUAAAACAGAGUGAUAGUAGGCUUACUAUUAAUUUUGCUUUCUCUGCCACCUUUGGAUCAGGGAUGUUACCAUGUUUGUCCUGUCUAGCUCUCUUCCAUAAGGUAGAUCGAUCAAUUUCUACCCCAGGCAUGGUUUCCUCCAAUUGAUCCUCCAAUCCAGCAUAUCCUUUUCGAGACAAUCGAUGAUUGUACUCGAGUUUCUCCCUAAUCUGUGCAUGUUGAGAAUGCACAGACUCAAAAUCUUUGGAUAGCCUUGAAGCUACAAAGGCAUCCCAUUGUGCUUUCUCUGUGAAUUUAUAUGUUUCAGGGGGUUGGCUUAAUUUCUCCCUGUCAUUGGUGUAUGGAAGGAUAUAAUGCCUCGUUAGUGUAGACUUGAAAUCCUUCCAUUUCUUGGAAGCAGAAGCUAAAACAGAGGUCUUGCCCCCUUGGCCUACGACAAAAGCCAUGUCAACUGCUUCCCAAAUCUGCUCCUUUAUAUCCUUGGGGAUUUGGGACCAUUUCUUGUCCACAAGUGGGAUCCUGGAGCGUGCCAACACACCAAUAUACGACUGCAUCUCAAUAUGUGCUUGGCCAACACCUUUCCCCCUUUUAUUGUACUCAACAAUUGGCCUCAGUUUCUGAAGCUUUCUCUUCACAACACGAGGCAUUGUGCUCAUACCUCGACCAGUCUUUGAAUCAUCUGAGAUUGUUGUCUGGCUGGUUUGUUCUGUCUCAGCAGAUGAUGAAGCAAACUUCAUCUUCUUCGAAGACUUCAUCUCCUUCGAAGACUUGUCUUGAGGAGCUACCAUUCCAAGCUUCUUGGAGCCAGAAUCCUUAGUUUGUUGUUGAGAAACCAUUUUAACAGACAAAACUGCAAGUGAAAAUAUUUCAGGAAAACAUUAAGAACACAAACGACGGUAUUAAAAAAAUACGACGUAUGAUAUGAUUGUAGACGACGCAAUGAAAUAAUCUCAGACGUAAUAAAUGUUUAAAACCAUUAUUUAUAUAACGUCGUGGUAUAUAUGUUCACACGACGUCAAUAGUAAUACACCGUCGUGGUAAACUAUUAUUUAUAUAACGUCGUGGUAUUUAUGUUCAUAUGACGUCAAUAGUAAUACACCGUCGUGGUAUUAACAUUCACACGACGUAAAACAAUAAGAUAUUUUGUCGUCUAUAUUAGAUACCAACCCUAGUUUCUUUUUCUUUAUAUUUUAUCAAAUAAGGGAAAAACAAAAACCAUUGUUCAGCGAAAUCAAACCUGCAAUUAAACAAGCAUAUAAAAAAAGACUAUUAUUUUAAAAACAACUUUGUCAAUUUUCAGACGACGCUAGAACAACUGACGAACCGUCGUGGUCUACCUUCGUCUUAUUUAGUUGAUGUAGUUGUCUUCAAAGUUGGAAACUUUCACUCUUUGUCUGUAUAUUUUAUCAAACUUGGAAAGAAGUAAAAUGAUUUUGGCCAGAAAAAAGGUAAAAAGAUUUUUCAAACAAAAAACGUAUGAGCAUGCAAAACAGUAACCAAAAUAGUGAAGAUGAAAGCUUACCUUUUGCGUGCAAUGAAAGCAAGAGGAAGAUGAUCGAUGUUUAAGUUCAGAGACGACGAAGAAGACGAGAGGAAGACGAUGAGAAACUCUGACAAUGCUCUGACAAGGAAAAAAGACGAAAAGGUUUCUCUGGGAGAUUGAAAUUUUUAAUCGGGUUUGGAAACAGUGCAUGUGUAAGUCGAAAAGUUGCUUACAUAUAAAACCAUUUCAAAAAAAUAAUACGGCGGUUACAUUUAACUACGUCGUUUUUAACUAAAACGACGCAAUAUUUUUCAUUCGACGUGGAAUCAUUUCAUUUAACGUCGUUAGGUUUAAUAUAACCGACGUGGAUUUUAAUUUUUAAAUUAUGAAUAGAAUUUUUUUUCCCGUGACCUUUCAGUUUAUUUUUCAAUUACAGUGCGUUAUAAAUAGAGUUUUUUUUCCGGAGGAAAUUUAAAACGAAGGAAAUUAAUAUUCUGCAAUAUGUAAAGUUUCUUUUUUGGAUGACAGAUUUAAAUAAAAUAAGAAUAUAAAAACAACAAAUGUGUAAGUCAAGUAGACGAAAAGUUGCUUACAUAUAAAACCAUUUCAAAAAAAUAAUACGGCGGUUACAUAUAACUACGACGUAUAAAUUACAAAAUACGACGGUACAUUUAACUUCGGACAUGGUAAAUAAAUACGACAGUAGUUUGUAGGUACCGUCGUAGUAAACUCAAAAAUUAAAGUACAUAAGUAAUAACUCGCGUCAUGGUAUAUUAUUUAACACGUCGUUUGUAUUAAUUUACCGACGUGGAUUUCUGUAAUAUACGUCGAUAAUACCGACGUUGAUUUUACAAUUUAAACGGCGGUUUUUUUGUAAGGACCGCCGUUGGUUUUAAAAAUUUAUUCUAUAAAUUUGUCGCUUUCAUUCAUUUUCGGUUUACAUUUAAGGUUCCAAGUUCUUCCUCUCUCAGUCUCUCAUGUCUCAAAGACAAUAAUUUGGAUGUUUUCUCAAAGAGAAAUUGAGCUUACUCGCAUCAAAUAUAUGUCCACAAGAAGAAGCUUGUCAACUAGCCUUCUCACUUCCUUGAUCAAGCCUGAUAGGACACUUAGUGCUUCUGAAUACUCCUUGCUUUCCAUCAAAAGAGAUGCAAGCCUGGCCUCCACUCGCUGUCGAAGGAAAGUUCGCUUCUCAGGGAAAUCUGAAGAUCAGAUGUGCCUGAUCCUCUGCUUGAUUUUCUUGCCUAAGAAGAUCCGUCGGAUUUAUUGUGAUAGCCUCUUCCUUUAUCCGUAGAGCUUCAGAAGAAGAAGAUGGGUUUCAAGAAUGCGAUAAAGAAUAGAAAUUGCUUCAGAUGGCCUCUAAAGCAUGAGCAAUUGAAUCAGUAGUUUCUGGGAGAUAUGAUGAAGACAUUGUCAAUGCUUUGAACUACACAAGUCCUGCAGAAAGAUAUGUUAAAGAAACUGAAACAACGGCGGUUUUCUGUUCUACCGUCGUCUUUUAUCGUCGUCUAUAUUAAGUUAAGAUGGCGGUAGAUUUAUAAUUACCGACGUAGAUUAUUUUGUUAAACGUCGUUAAGUGUACUACAACCGACAUGGAUUUUAAUUUUAAAUUAUAAAUAGAGUUUUUUUUCCCGUAUUCUUUCAGUUUUAGUUUUCAAUUCCAAAGCGUGAUAAAUAGAUUUUUCUUUCCCGAGGAAAUUUAAAAUGAGGGAAAUUAAUGUUCUAGAAUUUGUAAACUAACACGACGCAAUAUUUGCAAAUCAGUGUCAUCUGUUAAGAUUAUGAUGUGGAACAGAGUUCCAUCUGGUAAGAUUUCGUAACCCUUGGGAUCUCAGACAAAACUGAUUAUGUCGGCGGUGUUCUAUAUAAACCGUCGUGGUUAUUUCAAUUCUUGUCAUUAAGUAGAUCUACCGACGUAGGAUAAGAAAAUCAAAGAAAAAAAUUGUUAACAAAAAUUCUUAUUAAGACGACCGUUAAAAUUAAAGGUACGACGUAUAAAAUGAAUAAAUACGACGAUAAAUUUUAUUGUACGAUUUAAAGAUAACGUCGUAGAACUAUACGAGAAUGACGUCGAUAUAUUUAUAUUUUCCGUCGUUGUAAAUUAAUUUAAUACGGCGAUAUUUUGUAUUUUAAAGCCGUGGAUUUGUUUGUAAUUAUACGGCGUCUUAUACGAAAACCUCGUCGUGUUAUUUUAUGAGUAAAAACGGCAGUUUUUAUUGAAAUCGUCGUCUUUACUUUCUACGUCGGUCGAUUCAUAACUUCUGCCGUUCUUUGUUGGCAUUGAUUUUACACUGCGGAAAUCUGUUUCAAAUAGACGUCGGUUGUUUAAUUAUGUACGUCGUUGUUUUUGAACAGCCAUUUGAAACUCCAUUUUUUAGUUGUCUAAGGUUGUAUUACACGACGGUGUUUUUAGAACCGUCGUCUUUUUAUAAACCACGACGAUUUUCACUUAGACCGUCGUUGUUUUCUGGUCGUCUUUUUCACUUUUUGUAGUAGUGACUCUUCAGCAAUAUUUUAUCAAAAUAUCGCUAUAAUAUCGAAAAUAUCGAUGUAAUGAAAAAAAAAGAAAAAAGAAGAAGCACAAAACACACAUGCAAAGGGGAUUCAAACUCUUGCCAUUUCACUCUUUCAACGCCUUAACCACCAUGUUGCUUAUGAUUUUUUGAUAAUAUGGUAAAAUAUGUAUAUUUAUAUUCUUUUGUUUUGAACUGUUUUUGUAAGAAUCAGAUUUUCACAUGAGAAUGUGAGUCAUUGACCGUUCUUUUUGGGAUGGAAUCGAGCGGCUCACGGAAAGAAUUUAAGACCCAAAUCUUCAAAUGAUUUUGCUUAUAGACAAUGUCAAUCAAUCUCAGAUCCAUAUGGGUGACAUGUUAACAAUUACAUACAAAACUAUUUUGAGGAUUUAUCAUUUGAUGACUACUCUUCACAAUACACUUAUUCUACACAUAGAGAUGAUGAAGAUAGUGAAAAAUUUGAACUUCAUAGGAACUCUAUGUGGCACUAAGUCACUCAUGUAUCUUAGCAUGCAAGUAUAAAGUGUAAGAUAUUGUAGUAAAUUAUUAUAUAUAAAUGAUUAUGGUGUGUUUAAUCUUCUUUCAUUAAUUAUUACAUAUUUUCUAUACUCACAAUGUUCAUCAGCUUGCUAUAUAAUCAACUUAAAUCAGUUAAACCCAUCAUGCAAUGCAUUUCCUUCCAAUUUUUUGUGACUAAUAGAUAAUUGACUAAAUAAACAUCCUCCAAAGUUUCAAUAAAAUUUUCCAAGUUUUUCUUAUAAUUUACGUCGUUUUUAUUCAAUUUUCAUCGAUAUCAAUAAUAUUCAGAUAUUUCCAUCGAAUUUUCGUGUAUUUGGACUACCGAUAUUUUCGAUACCAUCGAUAUUUUAGACCUUGGGUAUAAUAUAUAUAUAUGAUAAAGAUGGACUCAUUAGAAUUCCAAGUCAUCCAACAUCGGUGGAUUAUGUUCAAUCAAAACUAGAAACUCCGAAAGCCACGAUGUCACACCAUAUGUGAAGCCAAGUCUUCAGAGGUCUAAGCCCAACCCGUGGAAGUAGGCCCAAAACCUCCUGAUGUUUUUAUGCACGUGACGAGAUCCAUCCAAGGAAAGCAGUUGAAGAAAUUGAUGUCAAUCCGGAACAUUCAUAAUGAGGAGAGAAUCAAGUGAUUAGAUUUGCAAUUCGAUAAUCUCAUUCGAAUUAAUUCCGCGGAUUUUGGAAGCUACGAAAAGAAAAUUUUUGAACGAAGUUGACCUUUUGUCAUUUGAUGGCCAACCCAUGGACUGACAGAUGCCCCUAUAUAUACCUCUUUAGAUGAAGAGCAAAGGAGACCGACAUGAGAUACAAAAACCUACUUUUUGUUUUUCACUUUUCUAUCCCUGGACUAGGUUUUUAUUUUCCAAGCAAGUAGACUAGAUUAGUUCUUCGAUUUCGUUAGUGUAAGUUUAAUUUCUUGCAUUUUCCAUUACGUUAUUUUAAGAUCCAAAUUUGUUGCUUUACUUUUAAUUGUUAUCGAUUUUUUUUUAAGUUUAAUAUAAUUUCAAAUUGCUUUAUUUUAUCAUAUUUAUCGUUCAUAUCGUUCAUAUAGUUCUUGUUUCAUUCUUACUUAAAUUUACGUUUAUUGUUGCUUCAAUCUUAUUUUUGCAUUUAUUUUCUUGUUAUUUAGUGGCUUGGUGGCUUGGUUUGCCUCAUACUAUGUAGAAGUGCAUGUACAAUUCGAUUUGAAGGGUGCAAAUUCAAGUGCAAAGAAGACACCAACGGGCACGGGUAGAGGUGGUUCAUCUGCCACAGCUGAGAAAAAAGGCGGCCAAGGUUCGGGGCUGAUGGAAAGAGAAAGAGAAGAAGAGGGAGAUGAAAGAAGAGACGUUGCCUUUCCUUCUUCCUGUAUUUGGCACGUUUUUUAAGAAAAUGUAAAUAGAUUUUUCCUCCACACAAACAUUUUUGGUAGGUCACUUGGUGAGGAACGGUAGGAUCUUCGGUUGUAGUGUUGGCUUACAGGGUUAUACUGGUGAUACUAUUGAAUUCAACUCCAAGAUUUAUCUUUUGCCUUUAGUAGCAUUUUAUUUUCAUCAAUGCACUAGAUAAUGGUUUUAGUAGAUUAACUUGUGUUUACGGUGGUUUGAUAUAGUGUGUCAGGUGACAAUUCUCACUGAGUAAUCUGAGAACCAGAGCUUCUACAAAAUCACUAACCAGUUCAUAAAAUAUGUUUGUCUUUUUCUAAUCUCACCAUGAGAAAUAUUAAUUAAUUUGCCUUAACAAAAAUAAUACAAAGUAUUGGUUUGUAUUAAACUUUGUUGGUUAAUACUUUUUUUAAUAAAAAAUUUGCUGCUGGUUAAUCUCUGGUUAAGCUUAAUAUUUAGGAGGGGUGUGUUUUCUCACACACAAAUGUCAAAGUGCCAUAAGGAUUUGAACAGAAGACUAUUAGUCUGCAAAGCAAGGUACUUUUUCACUAGUGUCCGAAUCAAAUCAUGCUUGAAGAAUACUAAUAGGGGAUUUUUCUUUCAGCUGAUAAAAGUAAAACAUCAAAGCUCAUCAUGGUGAUCGAAAACCAGAUGCAUCCAAAUUGCAAGGCAUGCCUUUCUCUUUGUGGUAGUAUAAUGAGCAUCCCUCUCAUACCCUCCAUAAUAAUCCUAAGCAUUAAUGUUGUAAAUUAGAUAAAUCCAUACAUACAUAAAACGAGCAUAAUAAGUAAUAGUAGCUAGUGGGAAUUAUAUCCCAACAAUUCAACAAGAACGAACAAAGUAGUAAUAUUCUCACUCUCAUAGCAAUACUACAAAUAGUAGGACAAAACAAUAUUGGUAAACACACGAGUGGUCCAUAUAGUUCUCCAGAAAUCCCUAAAAUAGAUCUUGCAUCUAGGUAUGCAACACCAUAUGAAGGGCCCAUACCAUAUGUGAUUAUGAACCUUUAUUUAACUACAUAUAGAUAUAGUAGUACAACAAAUAUUACUGUCCGUCUGGGAAACGGAAACCGUCAAUAUGCUACUGAUAAUAUGUCGAUAUAAUUGUCGCCAAUAAAACGUACUGACAUGUUAUCGAUACAUUUUCAGUAAUAUCGAUGCACAUAUAUUAUUUCAACAAUAUGCACAACCUUUAUUUAAUAAAGAACUGAUGGCUUGCAUAGAGAACUUCUGAGAUAUUCAUCAGAGACGUAUAUGUAAACACCAUUUUUAUUAAGGGGUGGUGGUUAUUGAAGGUGGAGAGAACGGAAAUAUGGGAGUUGAUGGGAAAUUUGGAAGUGAAGUAAUAAUAGGGGGAGGCAACCUAUAUUCUGGCCAUAAAGGUGUGGAGGUCAGAGGAGGAAACUUCAGGUUAGGGAUCUUGGGCAGCUUAUAACGAGGAAAGGUAGGGGCUAAGAGUUUUCGAGGGGCAGCGAAAGCUGAAUGUGUGCUUGAAAGUAAUGAAGCGAUGACAAAGAUAGCUAUGACAAACGAUUUCCAAGUUGCCAUCUUAGUGUGUGGAAAUAAAGCUUAUGAAAUUUGAUGUGAACGAGAAGACCAGCCUAUGGUUAUAAUUUAUAACGUUCAGAGGGAAC